UGCCAGCAGCCGCGGUAAUACGGAGGAUCCAAGCGUUAUCCGGAAUCAUUGGGUUUAAAGCGCGCGUAGGCGGAUUGGAAAGUUGGGGGUGAAAUCCCGGGGCUCAACCCCGGAACUGCCUCCAAAACUGCCAGUCUAGAGUUCGAGAGAGGUGAGUGGAACUCCAAGUGUAGAGGUGAAAUUCGUAGAUAUUUGGAAGAACACCAGUGGCGAAGGCGGCUCACUGGCUCGAUACUGACGCUGAGGUGCGAAAGUGUGGGGAGCAAACAGGAUUAGAUA
rnacentral:rRNA from 1 species